rnacentral:rRNA from 1 species
GACGAACGCUGGCGGCGUGCUUAACACAUGCAAGUCGAACGAAGUGGCGAACGGGUGAGUAACGCGUAAUCAACCUGCCCUUCAGAGGGGGACAACAGUUGGAAACGACUGCUAAUACCGCAUACUGAAGGAGGGGAUUGCGUCUGAUUAGCUAGUUGGAGGGGUAACGGCCCACCAAGGCGAUGAUCAGUAGCCGGUCUGGGCGGAUGAACGGCCCAAUUGGGACUGAGGCCCGGCCCCGCGUCCUACGGGAAGGAGCAGUGGGGAAACUUCCGCAAUGGACGAAAUUCUGACGGAGCAACGCCGCGUGGGUGAUGACGGCCUUCGGGUUGGAAAGCUCUGUUAAGCGGGACGCGGUACCGGAAUAGAAAGCCACGGCUAACUACGUGCCAGCCGCCGCGGUAAUUC